rnacentral:rRNA from 1 species
GCGAACGGGGAGGAGCCCAGAGCCUGAAUCAGUGUGUGUGUUAGUGGAAGCGUCUGGAAAGGCGCGCGAUACAGGGUGACAGCCCCGUACACAAAAAUGCACAUACUGUGAGCUCGAUGAGUAGGGCGGGACACGUGGUAUCCUGUCUGAAUAUGGGGGGACCAUCCUCCAAGGCUAAAUACUCCUGACUGACCGAUAGUGAACCAGUACCGUGAGGGAAAGGCGAAAAGAACCCCGGCGAGGGGAGUGAAAAAGAACCUGAAACCGUGUACGUACAAGCAGUGGGAGCCUCUUUAUGGGGUGACUGCGUACCUUUUGUAUAAUGGGUCAGCGACUUAUAUUCUGUAGCAAGGUUAACCGAAUAGGGGAGCCGAAGGGAAACCGAGUCUUAACUGGGCGUUAAGUUGCAGGGUAUAGACCCGAAACCCGGUGAUCUAGCCAUGGGCAGGUUGAAGGUUGGGUAACACUAACUGGAGGACCGAACCGACUAAUGUUGAAAAAUUAGCGGAUGACUUGUGGCUGGGGGUGAAAGGCCAAUCAAACCGGGAGAUAGCUGGUUCUCCCCGAAAGCUAUUUAGGUAGCGCCUCGUGAAUUCAUCUCCGGGGGUAGAGCACUGUUUCGGCAAGGGGGUCAUCCCGACUUACCAACCCGAUGCAAACUGCGAAUACCGGAGAAUGUUAUCACGGGAGACACACGGCGGGUGCUAACGUCCGUCGUGAAGAGGGAAACAACCCAGACCGCCAGCUAAGGUCCCAAAGUCAUGGUUAAGUGGGAAACGAUGUGGGAAGGCCCAGACAGCCAGGAUGUUGGCUUAGAAGCAGCCAUCAUUUAAAGAAAGCGUAAUAGCUCACUGGUCGAGUCGGCCUGCGCGGAAGAUGUAACGGGGCUAAACCAUGCACCGAAGCUGCGGCAGCGACACUAUGUGUUGUUGGGUAGGGGAGCGUUCUGUAAGCCUGUGAAGGUGGCCUGUGAGGGUUGCUGGAGGUAUCAGAAGUGCGAAUGCUGACAUAAGUAACGAUAAAGCGGGUGAAAAGCCCGCUCGCCGGAAGACCAAGGGUUCCUGUCCAACGUUAAUCGGGGCAGGGUGAGUCGACCCCUAAGGCGAGGCCGAAAGGCGUAGUCGAUGGGAAACAGGUUAAUAUUCCUGUACUUGGUGUUACUGCGAAGGGGGGACGGAGAAGGCUAUGUUGGCCGGGCGACGGUUGUCCCGGUUUAAGCGUGUAGGCUGGUUUUCCAGGCAAAUCCGGAAAAUCAAGGCUGAGGCGUGAUGACGAGGCACUACGGUGCUGAAGCAACAAAUGCCCUGCUUCCAGGAAAAGCCUCUAAGCAUCAGGUAACAUCAAAUCGUACCCCAAACCGACACAGGUGGUCAGGUAGAGAAUACCAAGGCGCUUGAGAGAACUCGGGUGAAGGAACUAGGCAAAAUGGUGCCGUAACUUCGGGAGAAGGCACGCUGAUAUGUAGGUGAAGUCCCUUGCGGAUGGAGCUGAAAUCAGUCGAAGAUACCAGCUGGCUGCAACUGUUUAUUAAAAACACAGCACUGUGCAAACACGAAAGUGGACGUAUACGGUGUGACGCCUGCCCGGUGCCGGAAGGUUAAUUGAUGGGGUCAGCGCAAGCGAAGCUCUUGAUCGAAGCCCCGGUAAACGGCGGCCGUAACUAUAACGGUCCUAAGGUAGCGAAAUUCCUUGUCGGGUAAGUUCCGACCUGCACGAAUGGCGUAAUGAUGGCCAGGCUGUCUCCACCCGAGACUCAGUGAAAUUGAACUCGCUGUGAAGAUGCAGUGUACCCGCGGCAAGACGGAAAGACCCCGUGAACCUUUACUAUAGCUUGACACUGAACAUUGAGCCUUGAUGUGUAGGAUAGGUGGGAGGCUUUGAAGUGUGGACGCCAGUCUGCAUGGAGCCGACCUUGAAAUACCACCCUUUAAUGUUUGAUGUUCUAACGUUGGCCCGUUAUCCGGGUUGCGGACAGUGUCUGGUGGGUAGUUUGACUGGGGCGGUCUCCUCCUAAAGAGUAACGGAGGAGCACGAAGGUUGGCUAAUCCUGGUCGGACAUCAGGAGGUUAGUGCAAUGGCAUAAGCCAGCUUGACUGCGAGCGUGACGGCGCGAGCAGGUGCGAAAGCAGGUCAUAGUGAUCCGGUGGUUCUGAAUGGAAGGGCCAUCGCUCAACGGAUAAAAGGUACUCCGGGGAUAACAGGCUGAUACCGCCCAAGAGUUCAUAUCGACGGCGGUGUUUGGCACCUCGAUGUCGGCUCAUCACAUCCUGGGGCUGA